rnacentral:tRNA from 1 species
GGGAAUGUGGCUUAGUAGGAGAGUGCUUGCCUAGCAUGCAUGAAGCCCUGGGUUCAAUUCCUCAGUACCA